GGGCGGGCAGCGUUCAGCGGGGCCGGGACGGCUGGGUCCUCUGGGGGCGUCCCCGGAGUUGGGAGGCGGCGUCCGGGAGUCCCCGGAGGAGGAUGGGCUGCGGACACAGCCGGCUGAGCUGCUGCAAAGCCCCCAAAAAGAAGCCCUCUUCACGCAGGGGUUGACAGCUGAGUGUGUCAGAUCGCCCACCCUGCUCUGCCCGGCGCAAGUGAGCAUGACAGGAUUGACACAGGAUGAGGUGGCCGGAUGACCUCACUCUGCCCCUUCUACAUCGAAGCAUUUCAACACUAGAAGGACUCUGAUGUAUGGCAUUGCCCAACUCCAGGCCAUAGAGAAGAGGAAACAGAAGCCCAGAGAGAGGCACCAAAAACCAGAUCAGCCACCCAGACCAGAGCCACAGGAACUAGGUCCCCUCAAUGGGGACACAGCCACAGCUGUCCAGCUCUGUGCAUCUGAGGAAGCUGAGCAGUGCCAGAAGGAGAUAACCAGAGUUCUCCAGCAACACGAAGAGGACAGGAAGAAAUGGGCAGAACAGGUGGAGAAGGAGAGGGAGCUAGAGCUUCGAGAGAAACUGGAUGAACAGCGAAGAGUCCUGAAGGGAGAGCAUGAGGAGACCCUGCAAGUCCUCCGGGCCUCACAUGAGCAGGAGAAGGAAACCCUUACCCACUCCUUCCAGGAGGCCAAGGCAACCCUGCAGGAGACCAUUGAUGGACUGUCCUCACAGCUGGAGGUCUUCCAGGCCAAGAUGAAGAGGGUAGAAGAGUCCAUUCUGAGCCGAGACUGUAAGAAGCACAUCCAGGAUUACGGGAGCCCCAGCCAGUUCUGGGAGCAGGAACUGGAGAGCCUACACUUUGUCAUCGAGAUGAAGAAUGAACGUAUUCACGAGCUGGACAAGCGGCUGAUCCUCAUGGAAACAGUGAAAGAAAAAAAUCUGAUGCUGGAGGAAAAAAUCAGCACCCUGCAGCAGGAGAAUGAGGACCUCCAUGUCCGGGCCCGCAACCAGAUGGUUAUGUCAAGGCAGCUCUCCGAGGACCUGCUUCUCGCCCGCGAGGCCCUGGAGAAGGAGUCCCAGUUGCGGCGCCAGCUUCAGCAGGAGAAGGAGGAGCUGCUGUACCGGGUGCUCGGGACCGAUGCCUCCCCUACCUUCCCCCUGGCCUCUGUCACCCCCACCGAGGUCUCCUUCCUCGCCAGCUAGGGCCCAGGGCCUGGGCCCAUGACGCCUGUGGUCACAGCUCCCUCUUGAGGACUUACCAGAGAAGACAGCAGGAGCCUCUCCUUUUCCCAGGAAGGGCGGAGGGCAGGCGUGAGAUGGGAGCCAGGGUGUGUGCCCAGUGAGCCCUGGGGGCUUGGGCCAUGAAGGAUCACCCAUGGGGCUUCCAUUGAGUUGGCCCAGGGAGCAAGCAAGAGGAGUCCUUCCGUCCCUCCCUGUUCUCUCUGUUCAAAUCAGGGAAGUCCUGAGCUUUUCCCAGGGGCAGCCAGUGCGGCUGAGGCCAUCUGACAAAGAGACAACCCCCCUGGUCCUGACUUGUUAGCUUCCCCCAGAUGUUCUCGCCUCUGCUCAGACCAUCCCUUAGCCUCAGUUUACCUCUCCUCUAAAAGAGCCAGGGGGACUGAACGAAUGAUACUUGAGUCUCUACAGUGUCCCAUUCUAGGAUCGUCUGAAGGUCAGAUUAGGGGCUGGGGGACAAAAGAGAAAGUGGGCCAAACCCUGGGAAUCAACAGGGAAAAGUAAGCAGCUGUAAAGGGGGUCACUAGAGGCCCUCGGGGCUGACAGUGCCAUGGCCCAACCCAGCCGACACAGGGGCUGGGCAGGACCUGGGGCAUGCUACUGCUCCUGGUCGCAGAGUCCAGUCAGCCCAGGGGCUAAGCCAGAGCUCCUCCUACCUGACCAGGCCAGGAUCACUCCCUCAGCCCUCUGGGUCUCUCAGUCUUGGUGCAUGGGCCACCUCGUGGGUCUGGAUACACCUGACCGCCAGAGUUGGAACCUUAUCCCUGCACAGGUGAGGAAACCAAGGUGGGGAGUGGGACCCACAAAGCCAGGACUAGGACCUCAUCUGUCAUCCAGCUCUUUUUUCUCCACAGGCUCUGGAAAGAUCAGAUGUGGGACUUAGUCUUCCUCCUCCUUCCUCCAGCUGUCCCCAGCCACUUCCAGGCUCUCUCUUCCUCUUGCUCCCUACCUUUACUCCUUCUACCACCCCUGAUGCCAGGCGCCAGGACCCCAGAGCCUGGCCCUCAGCUUCCCCAUCAGUGCAGAGGGGUGGCCAUAGUCACCAACCUCAGCAGGCCUGUCCAGCCCAGACUGUCUGUGGAUUCAAUAUUCUUCUCAGGAAGCUUUGGGUCAGCUGGACACUGUAAUGAGAACCCCUCCCCUGCACAGAGCAUUUUAAUUCAAUGCUCUCACAUACACCCCCCUCCUGUCAGCUACCUAAGAUUCUCGAGGCCAGUUCUUAGCCCUCUUCAGCAGCAGAGCAAACUGAGAUCACAGGAGCCGGAGGGCCUUGCCUGAGAUUCCCCAGCUCCAGCCCCAGGCACCAGACCAGCGGGCCUCUGGGGAGCUCACCUUCACCAUGUCUUUGCUGGUCCACCCUCCCGCCAAGGCUCCUGUCAAAUUCCAGCUCUUCCAAGAAGCCCUUUUAAGAAUUCCUGAAGUUGUCUGUGCUGGUGGAUCUCCUGUGUGACCCAGCUGCUCUCCAGGUGUUUGAGGGCUCUGGGGCUAAGUUCUUUGAGAGGAAGGAACAUCACUACCACCCGUCGAGUAACACCUUAGGAAGGUCUGGCCCACGCAGGUGCCCGGGAAACACUUGCUAAUGGAUUUUGUCCGUCUCUUCUUACACACCAGCCGGAAGGCCUGAGCACUUGCCCCAGCCCCGUGUUUGCGAGAUCUGGGCCGGUCUGGUCUCUGCUUGAAUGUCACCUCAGAGAAGACUGACCACUCUGUCUUAAGAAGACCCUAUCAGGUUGCCCUGUUGUAUGAGACUUCGAUGUAGCGCUUAGUAUGCUCUCCAUGAUCAUGUUCAUUUCCCACGUCUUCCUCCCCGUUUAGAUUGUGAGCUUGCAGACAGCAGAAGCCAGAGUUCUCUUGGCCUCAUCCUUGUGGUCUCCACAUUAAGUACGGUGUCUAGCACAUGGUGGGUGCUCAGUAACUAUUAUUGGACAAAUUAACAAAAAAACACAUUACACAUUUUAUACAGGAACUAAACAAGGAAACAGAGGCCCAGACAAGGGAAGUGACUUGCCCAAGGUCACUCAGAGUAGCAGUCCAGCAGUGGUUCCACUCUGCCACUAUCGCUCCUGACCUUCACCCUAAUUCCUCACUCCUGGGCUCUUGGCCAACACACUGUCACCACAGACACACAUACACAGCCUUUUCUUCCCUUCUGCUUACCUUCUGCCCUGGAUAUUCCCAGAUAAAGUCCACAGCCAUCUCCGACUCACCCAGAGACCUACAAGUCACACUGAAGUUCUCUCCUAGUUGGACUGAUGUGGCUGAAGCUUGGACAGUGGGUUUGGGGGAGGAAGAUGGGUCUGCCAUGGAGAAGAUGGGCGAGAAAUGGGGACAAACAUGUUGAACUGAUUGUUAGAACGAUUGAAUGAACGGCAGAAUGGUUAAGUUCAUAGAGGAUGAAUGGUUGGGUUGGUUGAAUUGAUAGAGGAUGGGUAGUUGAUGGAACAGGUGAUCUGAUGGAAGAUGGGUGAAUGGAAUGGUGUGACAUGAUUGAGAAUGACUGGAUGGACAGAAAGGUUGCUGGGUGCAAGGUCACUCAAUAGCUGAUUUGCUGGCUGUCUAGACAAGGUAGUUGACUACAUGGGGUGUUGUUGAAAGCUGGUUGGUUGGAUAGAGUUCCAUAAUCCACAGAACCCAAAUCUGAGGUCCCUAAAGGAGACAUCACUCCCCAUGCCCUGCCCACCCAGGCCCCAGGCCCACGCACAGCUGACGUGGAUCAGCAUGUACUUGGUAGAGAUUUGUCUCCAGACACCCAGGCUGGCCAAGCAGAAGAGGGAGCCAGCCAAGGAAGCCCAGGGCCAGUGGACGGUGAAGGCCUUCUUCAUGUAGAAGGACAUGUCGAUCCCAUCCACUGGGACUUCCUCUGGGGGGACCUCCCGCCGCAGUGUCACCUCGCCAGAGGGUUGGUCACCUGGCAGGGAAGCAGGACCGGCUGAUGGCUGCGCCACUGGACCACCUCAUAAUAAUCCUCAGUGGGGACAAAGAGCUCCUCUGGGUCUGGGAAGGAAGGAGGGAGAGAGAAGAAUGAACGUGGCCUAGAUUAGUUAUUUCCUGAUGCUCCACCACCCUCGGGCAUGGUCUUAAAAUCCCACUUUCCCUGCCCCUUCUCAGUCCUAGACUGAGAGCUGAAGGCCGGCCUGCUAGUUCCAGCUUCGUCAUUUCGAUUGACGUUCUUGGAGACCUGGACUUCAGGGCACCUGUGAUGAGGAUGAAGGUCUUCCCCUGGCGGGCCUCGCCGUCUGCGCACUCGCUGUCCUGGCAGUGCUGACCAGCAGCUGUAUUCCCCGGUGUCCGCACCCGUGGACUUGACCAGCUGCAGCUGGCCAUGCUGGCCAAAGUGCUUGAUUCUGAAAGACAGUCGUGGGGCUGGUCCAGGGUGAGGCGGGCAGGAGAUGGGGGUGGCCUGAGACACCUGGUGAGCAGUGUUUAGCAGCCUGACCGUCCCCCUCCCCCGUGUUCAGCAUGCUGCCCACCCAGUCUUCUCUGUUCCCCACUGACAGCAGGAGGAUUUGCAGCGGCCCCACCUGGUUUCUGAUGGCUCGCCUCUCACUGGCCCCAUGCACAUCUUCUACUGGGUCCAUCUACUCAUCCCAGAGCUUGUCCUUACAUUGCAAAUGGCAUCCCCCAAACUCCUCUGUGCUCCUUCCUCGGCUCCUUCCAUGUGUCCCUCUGUUCAGAACAGCAGAGCCCUCUAAGCAACUCCACCCCCUAACAGAGGCGGAGGCCCAGCAAAUCUCACUUUGAGAGGCUGAACUGAGAGACGGUAGACAAAUCCCCUGACCCAGUUUUAUAUCCCAGACUCUGCCUUCUUCUGGGGUGAGCAAUGCUGGUGGGGUAAACUUUGCUUCUAUUUCUGCCUUCCCAAUGUUGGCGUCCCCGACGUAAGGGUAUCUCGGCCUGACAUUCAGGCACAGACAGGCGGGACAGUCAGCCUCCUUCCCUUCCCAUUGCCACCUUUUUCCCUACAGGCACUAUUUGCUGCCCCCAGAGCUGACAUCCCGUACCGUGGGAAGCCACGUCUCCCCUUCUGUUAAACCACUAUGCAUCUGAUGGGUCUUGUGAACCCAUCUUACUGUUUCUUUUUUUUUUUUUUUUUACAUUUUUUUUAAAGAUUGUAUUUAUUGGAGAGAGGGAGAGAAGGAGCAGGGAGAGGGUGUAUGGGGGAGAGGGACAAGCAGACACCACCAAGCCCGGAGCCCUUCACAGGGCUCGAUCCCAGGACUCCUGGAUCAUGACCUGAGCCGAAGUCUGACGCUUAACUGACUGAGCCACCCAGGUGCUCCCUGGUUCUUUUAGAUGCCUGUAGUUCUACCUAAUGGAAGCCCAUUGUGGGUUCUGGAACACUCAAAUCAUCAUAAAAACUGCCCUCAAAUUGUGCACUGCUGCCGCACUCCUAGGACCCAUUCAUGCUGUCACAGGAGAUCCCCCAGCUCGCACCUCAGGUGUCCCUCACCUCCCUCCCCCAGCAGCUCAGCUCCAGGGCAUCCCCAGACCGCAGUCUCAGUGAGUCCCGCCUUCUGGAAGCGGCCCCUCCCCAACACCUGGGUCAGGAUGGAGGCGGCUGGGCGGUGUGGGGCUGCCCCCUCUGUGGGAGUCUUCACCCGCAGGGACUUCUGGCUCAGGUCUGAUUUGGGUUUCCUCCUGCCUGUGGCUCCGGAGGCCUUCACCUCUCCAGGGAUGGCGGCUUUGAGGCCUCUCUUUCUUGGAGCCUUCGGAGUUCUGGCCCGCUCCUGGACUUCAGCUGCAGAGAGACCGCAUCUGGAGGCUGCCCAGAUACCUUGGUUAUGCCCCAUUUAUCCACCCUCGAAGCCACCACUGUUGGAUGCCACCACCUCCCGGGAUCUGCCAUCUGGCCCCUCUUUUGCUUUCAAGGACCCUGGUGAUUACAUUGGGCCCACCUGAAUGAAUGAAUAAUCAAGACCACUUCCCUACUUUAAGGUUCCCCCUGCCAAGGUGAAUGGAGCUAUUCAGAGCUCUCCCUGCUCAG